AGCGCCUCUGUCCGGCCGCCCCGUCUGGGAAGUGAGGAGCGCCUCUGCCCGGCCGCCCCGUCCGGGAAGAAAUGAGGAGCGCCUCUGCCCGGGCGCCCCAUCCGGGAAGAAGUGAGGAGCGCCUCUGCACAGCCACCCAUCGUCUGGGAAGUGAGGAGCGCCUCUGCCCGGCCACCCACCGUCUGGGAAGUGAGGAGCGCCUCUGCCCGGCCGCCCCGUCCGGGAAGAAGUGAGGAGCGCCUCUGCCCGGCCGCCCCGUCCGGGAAGAAGUGAGGAGCGCCUCUGCCCGGCUGCCCCGUCUGGGAGGUGAGGAGCGCCUCUGCCCGGCCACCCAUCGUCUGGGAGGUGAGGAGCGCCUCUGCCAGGCCACCCAUCGUCUGGGAGGUGAGGAGCGCCUCUGCCCGGCCACCCAUCAUCUGGAAAGUGAGGAGCGCCUCUGCCCGGCUGCCCCAUCUGGGAAGUGAGGAGUGCCUCUGCCCGGACACCCAUCGUCUGGGAGAUGAGGAGCGCCUCUGCCCGGCCGCCCACCGUCUGGGAAGUGAGGAGCGCCUCUGCCCGACCACCCAUCGUCUGGGAAGUGAGGAGCGCCUCUGCCCGGCCACCCAUCGUCUGGGAAGUGAGGAGCGCCUCUGCCCGGCCACCUAUCGUCUGGGAAGAAGUGAGGAGCUCCUCUGCCCGGCCGCCCCGUGUCUGGGUAGAAGUGAGGAGCUCCUCUGCCUGGCCGCUCCGUCUGGGAAGUCUACCACGGAGGCCAGAAGCAAUGUGGGGGCUGGACGUGGUGGCUCACGCCUGUGGUCCCGGCACUCUGGGGGGUGAGGCGGGUUGAUCACUUCGGGCUAGGAGUUCGAGACCAGUCUGGCCAACUUGGCGAAACAUGAAGAAUACAACAGACAAACCAACCAACCAACUCAGUGACAACAAAACAGGUCUACCCUGGAGUCAUACUCUAAUUUUUUCUAUUUUCCUCCCUUUCUGAUCCUUUAUCCCACUUUCUUUUUCUUCCUCUUCCUUCUCCCUCUUCUUUGUCAAAUAGAGGAUUGAGUUAUUAUCACUGAUCCAUAUAAAGUCCCUCUCUCAUUUAUUUUAACUCCCACCCCCAUUUCUAUUCCCCGACUUCCCAUGUGCAACCUUCCUAAUA